UGGGUAACCUGCCUCAAAGAGGGGAAUAGCCUCCCGAAAGGGAGAUUAAUACCGCAUAAUAUGUUUAAGUCGCAUGACUUUAACAUCAAAGGAUUUUCUUUUAGAAAUUCCACUUUGAGAUGGACCCGCGGCGCAUUAGCUAGUUGGUGAGGUAACGGCUCACCAAGGCAACGAUGCGUAGCCAACCUGAGAGGGUGAUCGGCCACAUUGGAACUGAGACACGGCCCAGCUCCGUAGGGAGG
rnacentral:rRNA from 1 species